rnacentral:rRNA from 1 species
GUGUCAGCCGCCGCGGUAAUACGGGGGGUGCAAGCGUUGUCCGGAAUGAUUGGGCGUAAAGCAUCUGUAGGUGGUUUUUAAAGUCGACUGUUAAAGCCCAGGGCUCAACUUUGGAGAAGCGGUCGAGGACUUAGAGACUUGAGUUUGGUAGGGGUAGAGGGAAUUCCUAGUGGAGCGGUGAAAUGCACAGAGAUUAGGAAGAACACCGAGGGCGAAAGCACUCUACUGGGCCACAACUGACACUGAGAGAUGAAAGUCGGGGGAGCGAAAAGGAUUAGAUACCCUUGUAGUCC